CAUAAUAUAGAUUUAUAUGUGUUUCAGUUGAAUCGGAAAGACCUCAUUGAGAGGAAUAGAAGAGGAAGGCAAACAUUAAGAAACCCUAGAACUUUAUUCUUAGAUAUUUUUUAUCUUCAGUUGAUUGUUGGUUUGUUUGGGUUAUUUUUUUUAAGUAUUCUUUUAUAAAUUUGUAUUUAUAUGUUGCAGUUGAAUCAUAAAGACGAUUGAGAGGAACGGAAUAAGAAUGUAAACAUACAGAAAACUUUGACCAUCGUGUCAAUGCUUGAUGUAAACUUUAAGAUGCUUCUUUUAUUUAAAUUAAUACAACUUCAAGGUUUUUGCAAUGGUUGAAUUCAAAGAUCAAAAGAAUUUAAAAAUUCUUGCAGCUACCCUUCUGACUUUGGUCAUUAUAUGUCUUUCUGAAGGGUGUGUAGAAAAUUCGCGUAGAGUUCCCAGAUGCGUAUCCAUACAAGUCUAUUAUUGAUUCUUGAACAAAAAUUCCAUCUCAAUAUUAAUGAUUUGUGAGCAAACUUACUCAUGCAGCCAAUGUCCAAUGCUUAUAUUGUUACAAACAGCUAAAGUCUUCAAGGUACUUUCAAGUUUUCACAGUUAAGCCCCAUUGAUUAACAUUUAAUCUUGUUUUUCAUUCUCUUAAAGUAUUGCUUUGGGGAAUGCGUUGUUUAACGAUUGUACAUGUAUUUCCACCUAUUAUCCCAUUUAGGAAGCUAUUCGCUGCUGAAGUUAAUACUCGAAAACGAUCACCUCAUUUUCUUCAUUGGUUUAAAGUGUGAGAUUGUGUGUUUUCUUUGUAAUGUGUAUGUUUAUCUAGCUGAAUUUCUUGGGUCUGCUUGGUAGGAUAGAAUUUUUGGACUCUUCCAUUUGAUUCAAUUGAGCCGGUGACAUUGAAAAGCAUUUUGAGCCCUAUGUUAUGGUAUUGCAUGUCAUAGUCCAAAAGAACUUUGCAUUUGUUCAGUUUGAGACACAAGUUGAAUCUACCAAAGAUCUUGAAUGAAGUCACAUGAAUAAGAUGUGUGGCAGGGUGUCUCUGUUGAAUGUGACAUCAGUAUGAGAGCGAGCAAGGUGGUAGGGAUGAUAUUCCUAGAAGAGGAAGAGAAUAUAGUCGAUCUAGAAGUAGAAGUCCAGUGCAUCAAAGAAGUAGACCGAGUCCUGAUUAUGGACAGGCCAACAAUCAAAUUUAUGAUAGAUAAGGGACCAUCGAGCAACAGGGAUCGAAGCCUUACCAUGGGCGAUAUCCAGGGUAACAAGGAUACGCAAAGCCGCAGAAAUACCACUCGCUCACCAGUUUACUGAUAAUUCAAUGGUUGUUCACCAAUUCGUCCCUCACCUAUUUGUCGUACCCGUUCCCCUGCUGGCAGUUCAACCGUUCAUCGAUCCCUUGCUGGAUGCUUGCCAGUUUUUUGUUCAGCUUAUACUUGCUCAUUUGUUCCCUACUCGCUCAUUUAUUCCCCAUUCUCUAUUUUUUCACUUUCGAAGCCCAACAUUCCUGGGAAAACCAAGGCCUUCAGCCUGCAAUUUGUGGCGAGAUAGUCUAUUGUCGGUGGGCUUACUUUGGAGAACCUAGGGUUCCACCCCCAAACUGUGGAUAUGUCAGCCUUAUUAGGUUAACUGUGUAGAAAUUUGCUAAUGAUUUUUCCCAAAUGAUGCAGGAGUGUAAGAUUGAAAGUCACCCUUUCGGAGACGUCUUACUGCAUGCAGACUGUAAUGUUAAAGAGUAUGUGAAUGGAUGGCCAGUCGGCCAUCGUAGUCGCGGAUGAAUCGACCUCUGUGAAGAAAUGUCAAGGGAAGUAUACAUUAUCGUCUCCGAAUGCUACCAAGCUAUACCUUAAUAUUUGAUGUGCCCGAACUUCAAGGAAUGCGAGAGAGGUCCAUUAAGGAACUUGCACGGUAGGCCUUAGCCAAUGUGUCUUCCCGUCUUUAUCCAGGUGGGAUCUUCAUUGGUGCAAUACUAGAUGCCAAUGGUAUCAUUAAAAAGCUUAGAGAAGUUUACUGAACCUUGCUCAUCAGUUUGGAAGUCAUGGUUAUAGACCACGUAGCAUGAUCUGUUACAAAUCUGAUAUGAAGAUUAACGUAAAACACUCAAAUGCCAAUGCAUGGAAAUCUGAAGUGUCGGUUUUUCUGUUGAAUGGAAGGUAUCUUUGCUGCUCCAAAAUACCACUGCCUACACGGAUCCAUCCGUUCUUUUUAUUUCUCUAUUUUGUUUUCAGUAACGACAAUACCACAACUUUUACAUACACUAUACCUAUAUACUUUUCGGGCCAUUGUUGUGAUUUGGGUGCUUAGAAGGUUUCACAUUAAUGUAUCAGAUGACCUUGGAGAAGUCAACCUAAUCGUAGUACCUGCAAUAUUGGAAAAUGUAGUUAGGCUUAUCUUGAAAGAAAAAGUCUAAUCAUUUAGAUGGGCUUGAAAUUAAUGGUUUGGAAAGAGCAGGUAAAACGAUUAUACCUAAUUCUUAAUGUAAAGCAUUACUCGGUCAAUGUUUGAAACAGGGAAAGCUAGAAUUU